GGCGGGCCCCUGCGCAUUACGGCGUGAUCAAUCUGGUCAGGUCGGGAACGAAGCAGCCACAGUCAUUUCCCGUAAGUGCCGUAGAUCAGGCUCGCCUCU
rnacentral:SRP_RNA from 2 species